GGGGACUUCGGUCCGCCGGCGAGUGGCGAACGGGUGAGUAAAGUAUCGGAACGUACCUUUCAGUGGGGGAUAACGUAGCGAAAGUUACGCUAAUACCGCAUAUUCUGUGAGCAGGAAAGCGGGGGAUCGCAAGACCUUGCGCUGAUUGAGCGGCCGAUAUCAGAUUAGCUAGUUGGUGGGGUAAAGGCCUACCAAGGCGACGAUCUGUAGCGGGUCUGAGAGGAUGAUCCGCCACACUGGAACUGAGACACGGUCCAGACUCCUACGGGAGGCAGCAGUGGGGAAUUUUGGACAAUGGGGGCAACCCUGAUCCAGCCAUGCCGCGUGAGUGAAGAAGGCCUUCGGGUUGUAAAGCUCUUUCGGCCGGGAAGAAAUCGCACAGGCUAAUACCCUGUGUGGAUGACGGUACCGGAAUAAGAAGCACCGGCUAACUACGUGCCAGCAGCCGCGGUAAUACGUAGGGUGCGAGCGUUAAUCGGAAUUACUGGGCGUAAAGCGUGCGCAGGCGGUUUCGUAAGACAGAGGUGAAAUCCCCGGGCUCAACCUGGGAACUGCCUUUGUGACUGCGAGGCUAGAGUAC
rnacentral:rRNA from 1 species